GAUCAUUACCGAGUGAGGGCCCUCUGGGUCCAACCUCCCACCCGUGUUUAUUUUACCUUGUUGCUUCGGCGGGCCCGCCUUAACUGGCCGCCGGGGGGCUUACGCCCCCGGGCCCGCGCCCGCCGAAGACACCCUCGAACUCUGUCUGAAGAUUGUAGUCUGAGUGAAAAUAUAAAUUAUUUAAAACUUUCAACAACGGAUCUCUUGGUUCCGGCAUCGAUGAAGAACGCAGCGAAAUGCGAUACGUAAUGUGAAUUGCAAAUUCAGUGAAUCAUCGAGUCUUUGAACGCACAUUGCGCCCCCUGGUAUUCCGGGGGGCAUGCCUGUCCGAGCGUCAUUGCUGCCCUCAAGCACGGCUUGUGUGUUGGGCCCCGUCCUCCGAUCCCGGGGGACGGGCCCGAAAGGCAGCGGCGGCACCGCGUCCGGUCCUCGAGCGUAUGGGGCUUUGUCACCCGCUCUGUAGGCCCGGCCGGCGCUUGCCGAUCAACCCAAAUUUUUAUCCAGG
rnacentral:misc_RNA from 1 species